UUACGGCCAUAUCACGUUGAAAAAUCGGUUCCCGUACGAUCACCGAAGUUAAUCAACAUCGAGCCUGGUCAGUAGUACCUAGAUGGGUGACCGCUUGGG